UGCCUUUUUGUGUUGCCCACUUAAUUCUUUUAUGGGUGAGUGCGGUGUCAAAAAAGGCAUAUAAUAACUUGAGCUGUUCUCAGCAUCCUGUAGCUGUUGUGUUGCAGGAUAUUGUGAUUCAGCUGAUACAAUG